rnacentral:rRNA from 1 species
CGAGCGGCGGACGGGUGAGUAAUGUCUGGGAAACUGCCUGAUGGAGGGGGAUAACUACUGGAAACGGUAGCUAAUACCGCAUAACGUCUUCGGACCAAAGUGGGGGACCUUCGGGCCUCACGCCAUCGGAUGUGCCCAGAUGGGAUUAGCUAGUAGGUGGGGUAAUGGCUCACCUAGGCGACGAUCCCUAGCUGGUCUGAGAGGAUGACCAGCCACACUGGAACUGAGACACGGUCCAGACUCCUACGGGAGGCAGCAGUGGGGAAUAUUGCACAAUGGGCGCAAGCCUGAUGCAGCCAUGCCGCGUGUGUGAAGAAGGCCUUCGGGUUGUAAAGCACUUUCAGCGAGGAGGAAGGCAUAAAGGUUAAUAACCUUUGUGAUUGACGUUACUCGCAGAAGAAGCACCGGCUAACUCCGUGCCAGCAGCCGCGGUAAUACGGAGGGUGCAAGCGUUAAUCGGAAUUACUGGGCGUAAAGCGCACGCAGGCGGUUUGUUAAGUCAGAUGUGAAAUCCCCGCGCUUAACGUGGGAACUGCAUUUGAAACUGGCAAGCUAGAGUCUUGUAGAGGGGGGUAGAAUUCCAGGUGUAGCGGUGAAAUG